rnacentral:rRNA from 1 species
UACGUAGGGGGCAAGCGUUGUCCGGAAUCAUUGGGCGUAAAGCGCGUGUAGGCGGUUCAGUAAGUCUGCUGUGAAGGUCCAGGGCUCAACCCUGGGAUGCCGGUGGAUACUGCUGGGCUAGAGUACGGAAGAGGCGAGUGGAAUUCCCGGUGUAGCGGUGAAAUGCGCAGAUAUCGGGAGGAACACCUAUUGCGAAGGCAGCUCGCUGGGACGUUACUGACGCUGAGACGCGAAAGCGUGGGGAGCAAACAGG